AUUGAACGCUGGCGGCAGGCCUAACACAUGCAAGUCGAACGGUAACAGGAAGAAGCUUGCUUCUUUGCUGACGAGUGGCGGACGGGUGAGUAAUGUCUGGGAAACUGCCUGAUGGAGGGGGAUAACUACUGGAAACGGUAGCUAAUACCGCAUAACGUCGCAAGACCAAAGAGGGGGACCUUCGGGCCUCUUGCCAUCGGAUGUGCCCAGAUGGGAUUAGCUAGUAGGUGGGGUAACGGCUCACCUAGGCGACGAUCCCUAGCUGGUCUGAGAGGAUGACCAGCCACACUGGAACUGAGACACGGUCCAGACUCCUACGGGAGGCAGCAGUGGGGAAUAUUGCACAAUGGGCGCAAGCCUGAUGCAGCCAUGCCGCGUGUAUGAAGAAGGCCUUCGGGUUGUAAAGUACUUUCAGCGGGGAGGAAGGGAGUAAAGUUAAUACCUUUGCUCAUUGACGUUACCCGCAGAAGGAGCACCGGCUAACUCCGU
rnacentral:rRNA from 1 species